AAGAACUGGAUGCCUUUAAGUCGGCAGGCCCGGAUGAGCUCCAUCCCAGGGUGCUGAAGGCACUGGCCGACGUCAUUGCAGAGCCACUGGCGGGAAUAUUCGAAUGCUCGUGGCGCACGGGCCAAGUCCCGGAGGACUGGAAAAGGGCUAACGUGGUCCCCAUUUUCAAAAAGGGGAGGAAGGAGGACCCGGGCAACUAUAGGCCAGUCAGUCUCACCUCCAUCCUUGGUAAAGUAUUUGAAAAAAUUAUCAAGGCUCACAUUUGUGCCUGACCAACCUAGUCUCUUUUUAUGACCAGGUUACGAAACGCCUGGACACAGGAGGAGGGGUGGAUGUCGUAUACCUGGACUUCAGGAAGGCCUUCGAUACGGUAUCCCACCCCAUACUGGUGAACAAAUUAAGAGGCUGUGAUGUGGAUGACUACACAGUCCGGUGGGUGGCGAAUUGGCUAGAGGGUCGCACCCAAAGAGUCGUGGUAGAUGGGUCGGUCUCGACCUGGAAGGGUGUGGGUAGUGGGGUCCCGCAGGGUUCGGUCCUUGGACCGAUACUCUUUAAUGUCUUCAUCAGCGACUUGGACGUGGGAGUGAAAUGUACUCUGUCCAAGUUUGCAGAUGACACAAAGCUAUGGGGAAAAGUGGACACGCCGGAGGGCAGGGAACAGCUGCAGGCAGACCUGGAUAGGCUGGACAAGUGGGCAGAAAACAACAGGAUGCAGUUCAGCAAGGAGAAAUGCAAAGUGCUGCACCUAGGGAGGAAAAAUGUCCAGCACACCUACAGCCUAGGGAAUGACCUGCUGGGUGGCACGGAGGUGAAAAGGGAUCUUGGAGUCCUAGUGGACUCCAAGUUGAACAUGAGCCGGCAGUGUGACGAAGCCAUCAGAAAAGCCAAUGGCACUUUAUCGUGCAUCAGCAGAUGCAUGACAAAUAGGUCCAGGGAGGUGAUACUUCCCCUCUAUAGGGCGCUGGUCAGACCACAGUUGGAGUACUGCGUGCAAUUCUGGGCGCCGCACUUCAAGAAGGAUGCGGAUAACCUGGAGAGGGUACAGCGAAGGGCAACUCGUAUGGUCAAGGGCCUGCAGACCAAGCCCUACGAGGAGAGACUAGUGAAACUGGACCUUUUCAGCCUCCGCAAGAGAAGGUUGAGAGGCGACCUUGUGGCUGCCUAUAAGUUCAUCAUGGGGGCACAGAAGGGAAUUGGUGAGGAUUUAUUCACCAAGGCGCCCCCGGGGGUUACAAGAAACAAUGGCCACAAGCUAGCAGAGAGCAGAUUUAGACUGGACAUUAGGAAGAACUUCUUCACAGUUCGAGUGGCCAAGGUCUGGAACGGGCUCCCAAGGGAGGUGGUGCUCUCCCCUACCCUGGGGGUCUUCAAGAGGAGGUUAGACGAGUAUCUAGCUGGGGUCAUUUAGACCCAACACUCUUUCCUGCUUAUGCAGGGGGUCGGACUUGAUGAUCUAUUGAGGUCCCUUCCGACCCUAACAUCUAUGAAUCUAUGAAUCUAUAUAGUUGUUCCAAUAAAAGAUAUCACCAAAAAAAACCCUCCUCUCGCAUACCUUUCCUGGUCCAUCACAGAUGUAAGACUCCUCCAGGCCUGCAAGGACUAAGGACAAUGAUUACAGAGCGCUCCAAGAAGCGAGGACAGAAGGUGCUAUGGGAAGGCUGAGAACAGGAUCCGACUUUCGGGUUAGGGAACAUGUAACAAGGCACAGGACUCUGUGAGAAACAUUAACAUUCUUUCAGUAGGAGUGGAAAUCCUCAUCCUGGCCCAGAGGAAGGGUGAUGGCCCAGACGAGGGGGUGCUGGAAUUGCUGGGGCGUUAUUAAUGAAAAGCUCAUGUUGUAGCUUUCCCUGCCAUACACAGCUUGUGAGAAGCAAAAGGACAAUUUGCAAAAACUUGGUUUCUCUCACUAACAUCUCUGGCUUCACGAUCACCAUCUCCCUGUAACCAUUUGCUCCCCCCGCAACCCAUCACCAAAUAAAUCAGCAGCAAAGGCCAGCGUUGUUGUAUUUGUUGACUAAAGAUCAAACUGCCUAUCAUGUAAACUGCUGCAAACUUGGUCUAUUCCAGAUUGAAUACUUCAUCCAACCCACACAAAUAAUUCAUGUUUCUCUGCGUCCAGAAAAAACAAGUCGGCCAAAGCCAGGCGGCUCCGUUCGGAAAGGCAGCGCCGUUCAAAUGCAAGCAGCAGGCCGGAAAUGCCCCACUUUGAGGACUGCACAUCUAGCAUUUUAUGAAACUGGAGGGGAGUUGGGAAGAUUAAAGCACAUUUCCAACUGACUGGAGGCUGGUGGGAGGUGUCAAUGUGGGCAGUUGUCAGAUUAAUUCUUUAGAUGAUUACAUUCUUUUUUGUUUCUUUCAAGCUGUUUGUAGUUGGAUCUGAUGCCUCCUUGUUCCGGGCGAGUGUAUUGCAGCAGUUACCAAGAUGAAGGUGGCUGCAAUCUGCUUCGUUUGAUGCCAAUUAAGCAGCAGCCCGCGGGGCUCCUGGAAAACCGCCAACGCAAUCACUGGUUGCGCAAAGUUUGGACUUCCCUUCCUUAUAAGACAACUCAUGUUUAGAGUGACAUUUUCUCAAGCUGUCCUGAUGGCAGUUGUUUUAUAGGUUUCGAGAGAAACCAGGCUGGUUAGGUCGCAGCAGCUCGCUUGCUUUUUAAAGAUCCGACAGCAUGAUCUAGCGGGCAGACCGCUGAAUUUGGACUCCACGUUGUACUCCCAGCUGACACGGAUGUACAGCCAGACCUCGGGCAAGCCAAUUUGGCUCUCUGGGCUCCCAUUUCCCUCUUCAGCCUCUCUCAAUCUCUACCUGCACUGGAAGCUGCUCAGAAAAAGAUUGACUCACGUUGGCUAUGCCUCUGCUGCACCACGUAGCUGAUUUCUAUCCUGACUGCCUCUAUCUACCACCACGAGAAACCCCAGAUCCUGGGAUGGAGGUGCUUUCAGCCUGCGCGUGGUGUUUUAGGCUGGUAGUUGCCUUCUUCACAGUGAGGACAAAGGCAAAGGUUACUUGAGAGCCAACGAUCCUCCAAUGUCCUCCCCACAAAGAUGGCAAUCCUACAGCACCAGAACAAAGAAGUAUGGUCAGACGCACCCGGACAAGGGUAGAAACCCAGAGGCUGUGACGGCACUUGCUCCCACGCCAGGCUACCCCCUGCAGACAACAGUCCCAGUUAACUGCAAUGAAGAUACGCUCUGCGUGCAUGUGUUUCUACAGGCCCUUGCACACAAGGGUGCUGAGAACAUCAACCGUGUAUAGGAUAAGUGACAAGCACCUUUCUCCCACCUACAAACCCCCUUGGAAAGAGGUGUUAUAGCUGUGCUAACCCUCUGCAGGAGCUAGAUCCUCCUACACCUAACCCUGGACCAGAAUUGAGAGAUCUCAGCAGUAUUCCUGGUUCUGCCAGCGACUCCCUGCGGGAUCCUCAGCGCUGUGCAGCAGCCUGUGAAACGGAGACAACGCUCCCUUCCCACGCAGGCGUGCCGUGAGGAUUACAGCCAUGUUGGCAGAGCCCUUCUAGAGUCUCAAAAGGACGGCGCCUCGGAGGAGGGAAACGUCUUAGAUCAGUGACAGUGACAGGCAGUGCAUUCCCAGGCAUUCGCUAGGCACUCGACCUUCAACCUCAUGCCUCAUAACACACCCCUGAAGUGUAUUAACUCACCCAAAAAUGCACCUGCCUCUUGCCUGUUCAACAUUCCUGACUUGGGCAAGUCUCCCACUGCACUCAACGGGAGUUUGCCUCAAUAAGCAAGACUGGAUUGGAGCCUUAUUGCUUAAUUAUUGCAGAAUCGGAAAGCGAAGCCAGAACUGGACUGUUUCAGAGAACUCGGCAAGGCUCCACCUUGCACAAAUGUUUGGCAGCGGCUGCCGAAGACAAGAAAACAGCGAUGAAAAUAACAGUCCCUCAAACGUGAACCAAGAGCAAGCAGUAAGUGACAGCCAGGAUCACUCGGGGAAGCAAAGAGCCCAGUCGACGGUGUGUACCAUCACUGCAAAUCCUGUGCGCUGAUACUAUGGGAAAAGCUGCCUCAGAAGUACCUGAGACAGAGCUCAUUAAUUCACAGUGGUGAGUGGGAGCCCUGGCGAGAGUUACUAAAUUUAAUGAAUUAGGAAAUGCUUGAGCGAACUGCUUUUUAAAGUCAAAGGCACUGCAGCAGGAAUGCGCUCUCCAAGUACGUGUGGCUGUAGCAACUGUUUAUCAUAGAAAGUGAGGGCUGGAAGGGACCUCAGAGGUCACAUCCAGUCCAGCCCCCUGCUCCAAGCAGGACCAGCCCCAACUACAUCAUCCCAGCCUAGGCUUUGUCUACCUAGGUCUUCAAAACCUCCACGGAUGAAGAGUCCACCACCUCUCUGGGUAUCCCAUUCCAGUGCUUCACCACCCUCCUAGUGAGAGUUUUUCCUAAUAUCCAACCUAAACCUCCCUUGCUGCAGCUUGAGCCCACUGCUCCUUGUCCUGCCAUCUGCCCCCACUGAGAACAGCUCAGCUCCACCCUCUUGCGAACCUCUCCAUCCUCAAAUAGCAGCCUUCAACUAUUUGAAGGAAGCCAUGAAUCAUGCUUAGAAGUGGGACAGAAUUGUAUCUUGUCAAAGGAACACAGUGCGAAGAGGACACAACGAGCUCUUAAAACCUUCGCUGGAACCCAGGGGCAGAUCCCAGGGAAUAUGGGUGCGCCUUUCCAAAGAACUGGCACAGCGAGGAGGAGCCAUUCUGGGCAAAUGCAACCUCUGCUCAUCCAGAAACUCACAUCAGCAUCUCUGGAUUUACAGUCUGCCCCUUGGGCUUGAUUUUCUCAGUUCCUCCAGUGCAAAGUUCACUGUCUUGCCUUUGGUGAAGGUGGGUGGUCUAGAGCAGGGGGUCCCACAGUCUUGCCCCUGGAGAGCCAUUUCAAAGGGGCAGUCCAGGGUGGCAGGCUGCACCAAGGUGCUUGCAGGUUGCACUGUCCAGCAGCCCACGCUUCGGGAACCCACGGUCUAGAGGAGUGGGUGGGGGAAGAGAAGGACUAGCAGUUAGAAACGCCUAUGUCCCAAUCCUGGCUCCUACUGGAAAUUGCGACAGCCUAGUUACCUGCAGCUUCCUUGUCUAUGACCCCUGGCAGCCACUAACAUUUAGCACACAAUUAACAUGUUCCUUGCACAAUCAAUCAUAACGUGCCACUCAUUCAACCAAUAUAUCACGUGAUAAAAAGAGCAAACCAAACUCGUUCCACAUUAUACGUAGAACAUCUUUGUGGCUGGUUGGUCUCGUGCUUUAAUUUGAAUGUGCAGCAUGUUAGUUUAAAGGGCACCUGCGGAUUCCAGCAUGGAGCUGCUCUGCGGUGCUGACCUGCCCACCAGCCCAUUUAAAUCUCCCCAUGAAAAGCCCAGGAUUGCGGAGCAGCUCCCCAAUCCCAGACUCCCCUGACACCAGCAAGCUGAAGGCACGUGCAUGCAGCUAGGCUGUACAUGCACCUUUUAAAGGUCUGGAUGCACACGCAGCCCAGCAUCAGGGAUCUGCAACCUGGCGCCAGGUUCCUCAAGCCCCAGCAGAUGCGCAAUGGGAUCUGAUGAUUAUUAUCCCAGAUCCCCAAAAUCACAUGUCUCUGCCCUGCCAGUUCUUGAGCAUGUGGCACAGGAGGACAAGCAGUUUUGGGGAUCCAAGAAAAAAGUCUUCAGAUCCUAUCUCAUGAUUCAGUUAACAUGUGCUGGUGGCCCAGAAGGUAUGGCGUCUCCUCACCUUUCUCCCGGAGAUGGUGUGAGGAUUAAUUGCUGGGCACUAUUAAUGUUUCCUGUCCCAGGAUUUAUGACAUUGAGAAAUUAAAUAGUGCACAAAGCCAGACUUUCCCAAGUGUCCCUGAUCUCUGACAUCUGGAGCUGGAGCACUCCUCUCCAGCCUGUGAAGAUAUAAACAGUGACAGUGUUUAGUCUGAAGCUCUGGCCUUUUGCUGCAACAGCACUGCACCAACAGAAGUUAGCUGCAUCUGGCAAAUGGACAGGCUCCUUGUAGCUUAGACUGCAAACAUCCUGGGCCAGGGGCCAUGCCUUCUCGCCUGUCUGGAAAGCACCUCCCAUGCUGCGGGUCCCAUCAAACAAAUACUGCACCACCACAAGGUACAUAGCUAUUCAUAUAUGCCUCAUUUUUCCAAGUAAUUUUCCAGGGUAUUAUACUACCGAUGGCUGAAAUGAUCAGUAGCUGAGUACUGUGCUCCAAACACCUGCCUGAUUGAUUCUCAAUUGAAUGAAACAAUGAGACCCAUAACAGGUUCCUGCAGAUACACUCCUGUUCCCUGGUUGUCUGUUCCAUCUCACAUCCCUCCUCCUGAUCUUCAAUGUACGCAGCAUAUUUUAAGAGUCUACAAAAAACUGCCUACAUUCAAUUCACUACUAAUUUUUGAGGAACUUAAUGACCCCCCUAGGCCAAGGCUUAAGUCAAGGAGGCUAUUUUGGAGUGCUGGAAAAGAGCUAAAUGAUGAAAACUUUGACAUCAAGGAAAAAUGGAUCCAGCAACAGAACACGAUUGACAUCAUUAAUACGUUUCUCAUCAUGGACCCCACAUCUAAACCCCCUCGCUUUGCUUCACCAAGGCAGAACAGCACUGGUACUGCACAAGGUACAUGUAACUACCUGCUACAUAAAUUGAAUUUUAUGGAAGACCCCAAGUGUGAGUGUGGUGAAAUGCAAACUACAGCACACAUUACGGAGGAACGUCCCAUUUAUCAUCUGAAUGGCUGCAUCAAAGACCUGCACCAGGCUACUGAUGAUGCUUUGCCAUGGAUAUCAGAUCCAAAACAGUCACUCUAACCUCAUCCUUUAGCGCCGUUGCUUAUACGUUGUCUAUAGAUUGUUUAUAGGUUGUUCUGUCAUUCGGUUGCUGCAAUCCAUAUGAAGAAAUAAAUCAAAAUGGGUCUGUGUUUCACGAAUUAACAGAGGAGCUGUUUUUUAAUUUACUUUUCUAAUUUAAUGAGCACAUGUGCCCUGAACUAACAAUCACUGAGAAAGACGUGUGUGACACAGUUUUAAGCAGUUGAAGUGCUUUCCUUUACAUCCUCAGGAAAAAAAAAAAGGAACAACCUGGUCUAGAGUAAUGACUAGGAAUAAUUACUGCAGUGCUACAGCUGCCCUGGAGAAUUUAAACAAAAGUCAUCCUUCUACUCGAUACUUUAGCUCAGGUUGUAUCUGCUUCUCUCAUGCCGGAGGAAGGGCACUCUGUACCCAAAAGCUUGCCUGACAUCUCUUGCAACACUACAGCUGGUGCAAUAAAAAAUACUACCGACCUCCCACCUUCAUCUCUUGCAUUUUGCCUGGACCAUCAGAGCUAGUUAACACUCCAGCCUAACUGAAGGCAUUAGAGAGAAAGCAGCUUUUUCCUUAUGGAACUUUUUUAGGAUUUAGGGACAAACUGACUAGUAUUAAAGUCAGUGGGAUUACUCAUAUGUUCCCAGUUAAAUCAGUGGGAUUACUCACAUGUUCCCAGUUACUACGAGGGGCUGCAGCGGCACAGGUGCGAAGGCAUAUGGUUGACAGCCCAGAAGCUGCAAGAUUGAGGCCACAGCAGAAGCGCUCGUGGCGGCCCUGUCAAGUUCCAACAAAUCUGUGAAUUCUGCUGAAUACCGUGUCUUAAGGACACACAAAAGGAAAGGAAAGUUACGUACAGGCUUUGUCGAAGGCUGCGCUGGGCACCCUAAUGCCACCAGAGGUUUUCAGUCCGAGUGCUUCAAUUGCAAUGGCGCAAGGCUAGCAAAAUUGGUAAGGAGUAUAUCCCUUCCCUAUGGGUUUAUGCACAGAAAUACCAGAAAACUAGAAGGUUGUCAGAUCUUUUGAAUGCACUGCCUGAUUGAAACCUUGAUGGAAGACAGAGCGAGUGUGCACAUGUGUGCGCGAGUGUGGGGCAGGGAGCUAAUAGGAAGGGAAGUCAGUAAUUGUGAGUCCUGAAAAAUAAACAGCACAUUCCUUUUACUGCACAGAGCCAUUAGAUUUGGUGUUGGAUUUUAAUAUCCUACUGUCAGCUGGGUGCAAAUUUUAUGAUCUAAAAUUCUGUGGACUUCAGCAAGCAAAGUGGACGCGGAACAAUUUGCCAGAGGAGACAGAGCGUUUGUGUCAUAUUGUUGAAGAGCCCCUGGUGCAACAGAGAUACUCACAAGGCUUUAAAAAAAUAUCACAGAUUUGGUAUUUUAUGGCCUGGUAUAUACCGUGCGGGAUAUGAUUACACCCGAGUCUGACUCCCAUCACUGAGCACCAAAAAAGCUUCAUGAUUUUAACUUCACAACAUGCCUGGGAAGAAGGGCAAUGCUGUUUUCCCCAUUUUACAGUUUCUAACUGAGGCCAACAGGAUAUGAGAUUUGCCUUAGAUCACAACGGGUCUAUGGCAGAGCAGGAGAUGAAGCAGGUCCUCCCAGGUUCAAAGCUAGGGCCCUAGUGACAGAGACUUGACCCAAGAGUCACUAAUCAGCCCUAUGAAACAGCUGUACCUGUAUCAUACUUUGUGCCUUUCACAUCCCGAUCCUUGCCACUUAAGAGCCUUGCAUGAAGAGUGAAUAAUUGGCCUUGUUCACGCAGGCAAAGAUGGAACCUAUAAUUUAUUAUCAGUGAUCGCAAUGGCAAACGUUGGCCUGAAUCAAGCUCGAGCUCUUUCUAACCUCCUCAGACUUCAGCAAGAGAAAGUUCAGGCAAAAAUAAGGUUGUUUGGUGCUGCCUUAUCCAUGCUGGGAAAACAUACUAUGCCUGAGAAAGUGUUAACCAAUAAACGUGACUGCCCCACACUGCA